AUGUGAGAAGUCCUUAUCAGCUGCCUCAGUAGAGAAAGUGCUGCUCUAACCAGGAGGCACAGCAGCUGCACCUGCUCUCCCGGGCCCAGCCCCUCACCCCAGGAAGGGUCAUGCUAUGAAGCCCUGACAAGCAUGGAACUUACCUUGGAUAUGGAGCUGGUAUAUCUCAAGGAGAACUUGCCAUGACCCUCCUGCCUCUGCCUUCUGAGUACACAAAUGACGAUGGUCUCGCUUCACGACACCCAGUCAGCUUUCUCUGCCAGAAGCAUUCGGACCAGGAGGAGUGGGUUAUUUUCCCAGGAGAUGUUGCAUUCCUGAUUGAACAUGCUGGCCUUGAGAUAAGGGCGGCCCCGAGAUAACAGUUUUUAAAAAAUUCAUAAAAAGGAUGGUCUAGAAAUUCUUUAAAAAAAAAAAAAAACAACACAAUAACAAAUUCAAAGAGGCCAGUUUGUGGUAGGAAAAGUAUACAUGACAUUUUCAUACAUACUAGGAGUCCAGGCUGGCUUAAAAUUUGCUCUGUAGCUGACGAUGACUUUGGAUUCCUGAGCCUUUCUUGUCUGCUUUCAGAGAUCUGGGAUUGUAGUCUUGUACCACCAUGCCUAGUUUUUGUGUGAUUUUGAGUGUUGACACUAGCCCCACAGUGUAUAAAAAGUAUAAACUU